UACGUCAACAUCCUUAACGAAUUUAACCCGUUCUAACCUGUUGACCAUCGACUUUGAUGACCGUAAGCAAGCUUUCGACACCAGAGCAACGAUCAGAGAUCAGACAGGUAGCCCCGAAGGGUAUCCGUUGCAAUCCUCAAUCCCGAUCAUCACAUCUGCCGAAGGCUAUAACACUUCAAUACGAGAUCGAAGCUACAUUCCUCCAACCAUUUUAUGAUGAUCAAAAUUGAUGUUAACCUACCACACGGGCAAGUACACCCAAAGUGCACGAAUACGCAGGUAUGGAGGCGUUUAACUCCCCACACUCCACAGAAUCGCACCCAAAAGGCUGAUUACCCGCAAGUACGACUGGCUUCAAUCGUUUCCCUUUCAACAAUUUCACGUACUAUUUAACUCUCUUUUCAAAGUUCUUUUCAUCUUUCCCUCACGGUACUUGUUCGCUAUCGGUCUCUCGCCGUUAUUUAGCCUUAGGAGAAAUUUACCUCCCAUUUUAAGCUGCAAUCCCAAACAACUUGACUCUUUGAAAGCGUAUCGUAAAACGCAAUGAUCAACCGGACGGGAUUAUCACCCUCCAUGAUGCCUCAUUCAAUAGGACUUGGGCUGAUCAAACACGCAGAAAACGCCUCUUCAAAUUACAACUCGAUCAGGUAGGACCUGACAGAUUUAAAAUUUGAGCUUGUCCCUCUUCACUCGCAGUUACUAGGGGAAUCAUUGUUAUUUUCUUUUCCUCCGCUUAUUGAUAUCG
rnacentral:rRNA from 1 species